GGAUUAGAUACCCUGGUAGUCCACGCCGUAAACGAUGUCGACUUGGAGGUUGUGCCCUUGAGGCGUGGCUUCCGGAGCUAACGCGUUAAGUCGACCGCCUGGGGAGUACGGCCGCAAGGUUAAAACUCAAAUGAAUUGACGGGGGCCCGCACAAGCGGUGGAGCAUGUGGUUUAAUUCGAUGCAACGCGAAGAACCUUACCUGGUCUUGACAUCCACGGAAGUUUUCAGAGAUGAGAAUGUGCCUUCGGGAACCGUGAGACAGGUGCUGCAUGGCUGUCGUCAGCUCGUGUUGUGAAAUGUUGGGUUAAGUCCCGCAACGAGCGCAACCCUUAUCCUUUGUUGCCAGCGGUCCGGCCGGGAACUCAAAGGAGACUGCCAGUGAUAAACUGGAGGAAGGUGGGGAUGACGUCAAGUCAUCAUGGCCCUUACGACCAGGGCUACACACGUGCUACAAUGGCGCAUACAAAGAGAAGCGACCUCGCGAGAGCAAGCGGACCUCAUAAAGUGCGUCGUAGUCCGGAUUGGAGUCUGCAACUCGACUCCAUGAAGUCGGAAUCGCUAGUAAUCGUGGAUCAGAAUGCCACGGUGAAUACGUUCCCGGGCCUUGUACACACCGCCCGUCACACCAUGGGAGUGGGUUGCAAAAGAAGUAGGUAGCUUAACCUUCGGGAGGGCGCUUACCACUUUGUGAUUCAUGACUGGGGUGAAGUCGUAACAAGGUAACCGUAGGGGAACCUGCGGUUGGAUCAC
rnacentral:rRNA from 2 species